UGGGGAAUUUUGGACAAUGGGGGAAACCCUGAUCCAGCCAUCCCGCGUGUGCGAUGAAGGCCUUCGGGUUGUAAAGCACUUUUGGCAGGAAAGAAACGUCAUGGGUUAAUACCCCGUGAAACUGACGGUACCUGCAGAAUAAGCACCGGCUAACUACGUGCCAGCAGCCGCGGUAAUACGUAGGGUGCAAGCGUUAAUCGGAAUUACUGGGCGUAAAGCGUGCGCAGGCGGUUCGGAAAGAAAGAUGUGAAAUCCCAGAGCUCAACUUUGGAACUGCAUUUCUAACUACCGGGCUAGAGUGCGUUAGAGGGAGGUGGAAUUCCGCGUGUAGCAGUGAAAUGCGUAGAUAUGCGGAGGAACACCGAUGGCGAAGGCCGCCUCCUGGGAUAACACUGACGCUCAUGCCCGAAAGCGUGGGGAGCAAACAGG
rnacentral:rRNA from 1 species